UUUCAAUAGAUAGCUAACAAGGGCUAGGUAAUAGGGAAUAGAUAGCUAACAAGUGGCUAGGUAAUAGGGAAUAGAUAGCUAACAAGUGGCUAGGUAAUAGGGAAUA
rnacentral:sRNA from 1 species